rnacentral:rRNA from 1 species
CGCUGGCGGCGUGCCUCAGACAUGCAAGUCGAACGAUUAAAGCUCUCUUCGGAGAGUGCAUAGAGUGGCGCACGGGUGAGUAACACGUAAGUAAUCUACCUUCGAGUGGGGAAUAACAGUCGGAAACGGCUGCUAAUACCGCAUAAUGCAGCGGCAUCGCAAGAUGACAGUUGUUAAAGAUUUAUCGCUUGAAGAGGAGCUUGCGGCAGAUUAGCUAGUUGGUAAGGUAAUGGCUUACCAAGGCUACGAUCUGUAACCGGUCUAAGAGGACGGUCGGUCACACUGACACUGAAUAACGGGUCAGACUCCUACGGGAGGCAGCAGUCGGGAAUUUUGGGCAAUGGGCGAAAGCCUGACCCAGCAACGCCGCGUGAAGGAUGAAGUAUUUCGGUAUGUAAACUUCGAAAGAAUAGGAAGAAUUAAUGACGGUACUAUUUAUAAGGUCCGGCUAACUACGUGCCAGCAGCCGCGGUAAUACGUAGGGACCAAGCGUUGUUCGAAUUUACUGGGCGUAAAGGGCGCGUAGGCGGCAUGACAAGUCACUUGUGAAAUCUCCGGGCUUAACUCGGAACGGCCAAGUGAUACUGUCACGCUAGAGUGCGGAAGGGGCAAUCAGAAUUCUUGGUGU